CAAACACACAUGCAGGCUCGCAUGGGUGAUGACAAACUUUUGAUGUGGCUGAUUCUGCAUGAACAAGCCACAGAGAUAAGGCCCUGAAAGAACACCACAAGAGAUUAAAAAACUCUCCAUGUGCGCGCAGCGAUUGCUAGGUAAAAUCCGCACUGUGAGUUAUCAUCCCAUCCAGCCUUUCCAGGUAUCAUGGAGAGUUUUGAUGCAUUUUUGGAGAUUCUCAUGGGCCAUAUCUGAAGCAAGAGCGGAGCUUGAUUUUCUCAAAGAUGAAAGCUUUAAGUACUGUUUAUCUGAUGGUGAC
ensembl:lncRNA